UACGAAGGGGGCUAGCGUUGUUCGGAAUUACUGGGCGUAAAGCGCACGUAGGCGGAUAUUUAAGUCAGGGGUGAAAUCCCGCAGCUCAACUGCGGAACUGCCUUUGAUACUGGGUAUCUUGAGUAUGGAAGAGGUAAGUGGAAUUGCGAGUGUAGAGGUGAAGUUCGUAGAUAUUCGCAGGAACACCAGUGGCGAAGGCGGCUUACUGGUCCAUUACUGACGCUGAGGUGCGAAAGCGUGGGGAGCAAACAGG
rnacentral:rRNA from 1 species